GGGGCUGGAUGGGUGACUGGUGUCCCCCUGGGUCUUCAAAACCCUGAGGGAGGCGCGUGCCGUCUCCGGUGGGUUCGAUUCCCACACAGUCCCGCCA
rnacentral:tRNA from 1 species